UGCUUUGGUAAGGAAGCCUGGGGCGGAGGACUCUUCCCCCACUGGCCUCAAGCUGCAGGCCCGGAGCGCACAGCGCCUCCCUGAAAGAUGCGGUGACGUUGCUUCUGAAAUGAUGAGGCUGCCACAUGCUCAUUGUGAGAAAGAUAACCAGAGGCGGCGAACAGUAGAGAAGUGUGGUCUGUGGACAUCCCCUCUAAUCCGACCCUCUUGGGAUUACCUUUGUUAACUCUUGGUUGGCUGUAUCUGUUUUUUUCUGUGCAAAUGGAUGUAUACGUAUUUUAGAUUCAUUUCUUUUAUUGCUAGAAAAAUCUCCAUCAGAUGCUUAUGGAUUGCAUGCUAUAUGCCAAGUAUUGCUGUAGGCUGUGGGUCUGCAAACGUUUUCCUAUAAAGGACCCCAGAGCAAAUAUUUUAGGCUCUGCGGGCCAUCAAGGAUCUUAUUUAAGUACUUGUAUAAUCAGAGAGAAGUGUCCAUAAAGUUCUUAUUGGUGAAAUUUAAUAUAACAACCGAGUACUUCUUAAAAUAUGGAUUGCUGUGGUCUGAAUGUUUGUCCCCUCUGAAACUCAUUUUGAAACUCUACCCCAAUGUAACAGUACUGAGAAGUGGGGCCUUUAAGAGGUGAUUGGGUCAUGAGGGUGUUGCUCACAUGAAUGGAUUAAUCCAUUCAUAGAUUAAUGGGUUAAUGGAUUGAUGGGUUGUAACAAGAGUGGAUCUGUUAGAAAAGCCAGUUUGGCUUCUGAUGGGUCCCGAGACACUGCAGAGAGUCCCCCACCAGCAAGAAGGCCCUCACCCAGUGCGCCCCUCAACCACAGACCUCCUAGCCUCCAGAACCGUAAGAAAUAAAUUUCUGUUCCUUAUAAAUUAUCUGGUCUCAAGUAUUCUGUUGCAGGCAACAGAAAAUGGACUAAGACAAGGGUCUGCUCAUGAAAAUGAAACCAGGGGACAAACCCCCAGUUUCCCUGGCUGUUCUCUUGACCCUCUUCAGAACCGGCCUCAGCUAGGGGAAGGGAAAGAUAGCUUUAAAAAAUCUGUUUGACCAAGCAGGACGGGCUGAAUUCCUAGGAGCAGCGGUACACUUGGAGUAACAAUAAGCUGGAAGAGAUGACCCAAAGAUCAUGAGCAGACUUUGAGUCUGUUUUGCAGAAAACAAUGAAGGCUGUCAACAAAACUGCAACCACAGGAUGACCCAGCCCCAGCUGCCGCUGGCACUAAGGAGCCUAUAGUUACCUAAUACCUGGAGUCAGAGAAAACACAGAUUUUCUGUUAACUUCCCCAAGACUCCUCCUCCCUUUCCUCUCGGCCUUAUAAAAUUCCUUGCCUCUGUUUCUGUGGUGAGAUGGACCAGAGAAACUUGGGCUUGCCUGUCUUCUUGCUUUGGCUAGUUCAAAUAAACCUUUCUCUGUCUCCAA